rnacentral:tRNA from 47 species
GGGGCGUUAGCUCAGUUGGUAGAGCAGUUGACUUUUAAUCAAUUGGUCGCAGGUUCGAAUCCUGCACGACCCACCA